GGUGAGGUGGGGAGGGGUGAGGAGGGAUGGGAGAGGAGGGGUGAGGUGGGGAGGGGUGGAGGGGAUGAGGUGGGAAGGGGUAAGGUAGGGAGGGGUGAGGAGGGGAUGGGAGAGGAGGGGUGAGGUGGGGAGGGGUGGAGGGGAUGGGAGAGGAGGGGUGAGGUAGGGAGGGGUGGAGGGGAUGAGGUGGGAAGGGGUAAGGUAGGGAGGGGUGAGGAGGGGUGAGGUGGGGAGGGGUGGAGGGGAUGGGAGAGGAGGGGUGAGGUAGGGAGGGGUGGAGGGGAUGAGGUGGGAAGGGGUAAGGUAGGGAGGGGUGAGGAGGGGAUGGGAGAGGAGGGGUGAGGUAGGGAGGGGUGAGGAGGGGAUGGGAGAGGAGGGGUGAGGUAGGGAGGGGUGGAGGGGAUGAGG